rnacentral:rRNA from 1 species
CAGCCGCCGCGGUAAUACGUAGGUGGCAAGCGUUGUCCGGAAUUAUUGGGCGUAAAGGGCUCGCAGGCGGUUUCUUAAGUCUGAUGUGAAAGCCCCCGGCUCAACCGGGGAGGGUCAUUGGAAACUGGGAAACUUGAGUGCAGAAGAGGAGAGUGGAAUUCCACGUGUAGCGGUGAAAUGCGUAGAGAUGUGGAGGAACACCAGUGGCGAAGGCGACUCUCUGUUCUGUAACUGACGCUGAGGAGCGAAAGCGUGGGGAGCGAACAGGAUUAGAUACCCCGGUAGUCCCUGUCUCUUAUAC